UACGUAGGGUGCGAGCGUUGUCCGGAAUUAUUGGGCGUAAAGGGCUCGUAGGCGGUUUGUCGCGUCGGGCGUGAAAACCCAGGGCUUAACCCUGGGCUGGCUUCCGAUACGGGCAGACUAGAGGUAUGCAGGGGAGAACGGAAUUCCUGGUGUAGCGGUGAAAUGCGCAGAUAUCAGGAGGAACACCGGUGGCGAAGGCGGUUCUCUGGGCAUUGCCUGACGCUGAGGAGCGAAAGUGUGGGGAGCGAACAGG
rnacentral:rRNA from 1 species